rnacentral:rRNA from 1 species
ACGGGGUGCAGCAGGCGCGAAAACUCCACAAUGUACGACAGUACGAUGGGGUUAUCUCGAGUGCAGUCCGAUAAGGGCUGCUUUUCCAUAGAGUAAUAUCCUGUGGGAAUAAGAGGGGGGCAAGACUGGUGUCAGCCGCCGCGGUAACACCAGCCCCUCGAGUGGUGGGGACUAUUAUUUGGCCUAAAGCGUCCGUAGCUGGCUGUAUCCGUCCCCCGUUAAAUCCAGCGUCCUAAGCGUUGGACUGCGGGUGAUACCAUACAGCUAGAGGGUGGGAUAGGUGAGCGGUAUUUCUGGGGCAGGGGCGAAAUCCUUUGAUCCCAGGAGGACCACCAGUGGCGAAGGCUGCUCACUAGAACACGCCUGACGGUCAGGGACGAAAGCUGGGGCAGCGAACCGGAUUAGAUACCCGGGUAGUCCCAGCUGUAAACGAUGCCAGCUAGGUGUUGGGUCGGCCACGCGCCGCCCCAGUGCCGCAGGGAAGCCGUUAAGCUGGCCGCCUGGGGAGUACGGCCGCAAGGCUGAAACUUAAAGGAAUUGGCGGGGGAGCAC